AACAAACGCUGGCGGCGUGCCUAAUACAUGCAAGUCGAACGGGGAAAGCUUUCGGGUGAGUACUAGUGGCGCACGGGUGAGUAACGCGUGGAUAAUCUGCCUUAGAGUGGGGGAUAACUAGUCGAAAGAUUAGCUAAUACCGCAUAAGACCACAAGAACUGCGGUUCAAGGGGUCGAAGGUUUUUCGCUCUAAGAUGAGUCCGCGUAAGAUUAGCUAGUUGGUAGGGUAACGGCCUACCAAGGCGACGAUCUUUAACUGGUCUGAGCGGAUGAUCAGUCACACUGGAACUGAGACACGGUCCAGACUCCUACGGGAGGAAGCAGUAGGGAAUAUUGCACAAUGGAGGAAACGCUGAUGCAGCGACGCCGCGUGAGUGAUGAAGGCCUUCGGGUCGUAAAGCUCUGUCGCAGGGGAAUAACACAAUGAAGGUACCCUGUAAGAAAGGAUCGGCUAACUUCGUGCCAGCCGCCGCGGUAAAAC
rnacentral:rRNA from 1 species